rnacentral:rRNA from 1 species
GACGAACGCUGGCGGCGUGCCUAAUACAUGCAAGUAGAACGCUGAAGGAGGAGCUUGCUUCUCUGGAUGAGUUGCGAACGGGUGAGUAACGCGUAGGUAACCUGCCUGGUAGCGGGGGAUAACUAUUGGAAACGAUAGCUAAUACCGCAUAAGAGUAGAUGUCGCAUGACAUUUGCUUAAAGGGUGCAAUUGCAUCACUACCAGAUGGACCUGCGUUGUAUUAGUUAGUUGGUGAGGUAACGGCUCACCAAGGCAACGAUACAUAGCCGACCUGAGAGGGGGAUCGGCCACACUGGGACGGAGACACGGCCCAGACUCCUACGGGAGGCAGCAGUAGGGAAUCUUCGGCAAUGGACGGAAGGCUGACCGAGCAACGCCGCGUGAGUGAAGAAGGGUUUCGGAUCGUAAAGCUCUGUUGUAAGAGAAGAACGAGUGUGAGAGUGGAAAGUUCACACUGUGACGGUAUCUUACCAGAAAGGGACGGCUAACUACGUG